rnacentral:rRNA from 1 species
CCCUUAGAUGUUCUGGGCCGCACGCGCGCUACACUGACUGGUGCAACAAGUGUCUGACCUUGGCUCGACAGGCCCGGGCAAUCUUUGAACGCUGGUCGUGAUGGGGAUAGACUUUUGCAAUUUUUGGUCUUCAACGAGGAAUUCCUAGUAAACGCAAGUCAUCAACUUGCAUUGAUUACGUCCCUGCCCUUUGUACACACCGCCCGUCGCACCUACCGAUUGAAUGGUCCGGUGAAGCCUCCGGAUUGGCGCGCACCUCGGUGCCGCCAAGAAGUUGGCUAAACCUUACCAUUUAGAGGAAGGUGAAGUCGUANCA